GAGUAAUGUCUGGGAAACUGCCUGAUGGAGGGGGAUAACUACUGGAAACGGUGGCUAAUACCGCAUAACGUCGCAAGACCAAAGAGGGGGACCUUCGGGCCUCUUGCCAUCAGAUGUGCCCAGAUGGGAUUAGCUUGUUGGUGAGGUAACGGCUCACCAAGGCGACGAUCCCUAGCUGGUCUGAGAGGAUGACCAGCCACACUGGAACUGAGACACGGUCCAGACUCCUACGGGAGGCAGCAGUGGGGAAUAUUGCACAAUGGGCGCAAGCCUGAUGCAGCCAUGCCGCGUGUAUGAAGAAGGCCUUCGGGUUGUAAAGUACUUUCAGCGGGGAGGAAGGUGUUGUGGUUAAUAACCGCAGCAAUUGACGUUACCCGCAGAAGAAGCACCGGCUAACUCCGUGCCAGCAGCCGCGGUAAUACGGAGGGUGCAAGCGUUAAUCGGAAUUACUGGGCGUAAAGCGCACGCAGGCGGUCUGUCAAGUCGGAUGUGAAAUCCCCGGGCUCAACCUGGGAACUGCAUUCGAAACUGGCAGGCUUGAGUCUUGUAGAGGGGGGUAGAAUUCCAGGUGUAGCGGUGAAAUGCGUAGAGAUCUGGAGGAAUAGCGGUGGCGAAGGCGGCCCCCUGGACAAAGACUGACGCUCAGGUGCGAAAGCGUGGGGAGCAAACAGGAUUAGAUACCCUGGUAGUCCACGCCGUAAACGAUGUCUACUUGGAGGUUGUGCCCUUGAGGCGUGGCUUCCGGAGCUAACGCGUUAAGUAGACCGCCUGGGGAGUACGGCCGCAAGGUUAAAACUCAAAUGAAUUGACGGGGGCCCGCACAAGCGGUGGAGCAUGUGGUUUAAUUCGAUGCAACGCGAAGAACCUUACCUGGUCUUGACAUCCACAGAACUUUCCAGAGAUGGACUGGUGCCUUCGGGAAC
rnacentral:rRNA from 1 species